rnacentral:rRNA from 1 species
AGUGAACGCUGGCGGUAGGCCUAACACAUGCAAGUCGAACGGCAGCACAGUAAGAGCUUGCUCUUACGGGUGGCGAGUGGCGGACGGGUGAGGAAUACAUCGGAAUCUACUUUUUCGUGGGGGAUAACGUAGGGAAACUUACGCUAAUACCGCAUACGACCUACGGGUGAAAGCAGGGGAUCUUCGGACCUUGCGCGAUUGAAUGAGCCGAUGUCGGAUUAGCUAGUUGGCGGGGUAAAGGCCCACCAAGGCGACGAUCCGUAGCUGGUCUGAGAGGAUGAUCGGCCACACUGGAACUGAGACACGGUCCAGACUCCUACGGGAGGCAGCAGUAGGGAAUAUUGGACAAUGGGCGCAAGCCUGAUCCAGCCAUACCGCGUGGGUGAAGAAGGCCUUCGGGUUGUAAAGCCCUUUUGUUGGGAAAGAACAGCAGCAGGUUAAUACCCCGCUGUUCUGACGGUACCCAAAGAAUAAGCACCGGCUAACUUCGUG